UGGUCCCCAAGGCUGUGUGGAGGACACAGGCCAGCGAGAACCUCAGCUUUGACCUCCCUGGCUUCUGCUUCUCCGUUCUCUUUCUGUACCCUCCAUCUUUUCCUACUAACUCUGUGGUCCUUAACCCUAACACAGCUGACAGGGUUUUUUUUUUUUUUGUUCAUUUCUUAGGUGCUAAACACUCGGAAACACCGAAGGGACCCAGGAUCCCUGCCAACAGGGUCUUUCGCAAGAGCUUACCUCUCUCCUCACUGAGCAGCAUGGGGCCUGUGGAUACCACCCUGGAAAUCAGUUUGUUGAACGCUGGCUAGCUGCUGGGUGAGGACGGCGGUCCGAGGGCGGUGCUGAUGAGAAAUGUCGUUUGCUCUGGCCUCCUGAAUCUGGUUUGUGGUGGGUGCUGUGGAUCCAUUCAGGUGGCGGUGGCAUUGCACUGCACGGCUGCCGUCUGGAUGCUUACUGUGCGACACACACGCACACCAGCCCAGAGCACCACACCAUCCCAACUUCACCACACCUGUGAGAUAAGCCCUUUUUCACUUUGAGCCUGCCUCGGGUCUGAAACACUAAAAAACGGGGGAGUGUUAGGAGACACACAACUUGUCAAAAAACACAAAACAAAACAAAAGCACCUCACAAACCAAGUCUGCUUUGUCUAUACUCUUGUCUGCCUGGUCAUAGUUAGGUUCUCUGGAGGGGUUUGUCUCUUGUCACUUUCAGACCACAGCUAAGUCCCACCGAUGCUGGGAUGAGAUUCUGCACGCUACUGUCAGGCUCGGGAGAGAUGUGGCACUGUGGACUCGACACUUCUUUUGAACCCAAAUGUAGUCCUUCAGUAAAUUGAAAUUAAAGGGAAAAAAAGAUGCUCAGACACUUUUGCAGGGAGCCUAACACUGAAGCAAGGACCUCUUCAUCCAGUACGAGAAUGUCCCAUGGGAGCAUCCCGAGGAAGAAUCAUCAAAGUUGAGUCUGAAGUUAACUCUCACUACCAAGUGGCUGUAUAAGCCUUAAAACACAAGUUGGUAGAACCUGUGCGUCUUUUACAAACUGAUUUAUCUUCUUUUUUUUCUACUUUUAAAGUCUUUUUAAAAGACAUGUGGGUGUUUUGCCUGCAUGUCUGUAUGCCACACAUAUUUGGCAUUGGAGAAGGCUAGAACAAAGUGUCAGGCCCCUUAGGAAUGGAGUUAUGGAUGGUUGUAAGCCACUAUGUGGAUACCUGGAAUUAAAUGGCAGUCCUUUGGAAGAGCAGCCCGGUGCUCUUAAACACUAGUCCGUCUCUCCAGCCACUGCCUUUAUCUUUAAAAAUGCUGCUAUAGGCUGGGUGGUGGUGGCGCAUGCCUUUAAUCCCAGCA